GGAGAGAUGGCCGAGCGGCUGAAGGCGACGGUUUGCUAAACCGUUAGGUGGGUGAACACCUGCCUCGGGGGUUCGAAUCCCCCUCUCUCCG
rnacentral:tRNA from 1 species